UCGAGCGGACAGAAGGGAGCUUGCUCCCGGAUGUUAGCGGCGGACGGGUGAGUAACACGUGGGUAACCUGCCUGUAAGACUGGGAUAACUCCGGGAAACCGGAGCUAAUACCGGAUAGUUCCUUGAACCGCAUGGUUCAAGGAUGAAAGACGGUUUCGGCUGUCACUUACAGAUGGACCCGCGGCGCAUUAGCUAGUUGGUGGGGUAAUGGCUCACCAAGGCGACGAUGCGUAGCCGACCUGAGAGGGUGAUCGGCCACACUGGGACUGAGACACGGCCCAGACUCCUACGGGAGGCAGCAGUAGGGAAUCUUCCGCAAUGGACGAAAGUCUGACGGAGCAACGCCGCGUGAGUGAUGAAGGUUUUCGGAUCGUAAAGCUCUGUUGUUAGGGAAGAACAAGUGCGAGAGUAACUGCUCGCACCUUGACGGUACCUAACCAGAAAGCCACGGCUAACUACGUGCCAGCAGCCGCGGUAAUACGUAGGUGGCAAGCGUUGUCCGGAAUUAUUGGGCGUAAAGGGCUCGCAGGCGGUUUCUUAAGUCUGAUGUGAAAGCCCCCGGCUCAACCGGGGAGGGUCAUUGGAAACUGGGAAACUUGAGUGCAGAAGAGGAGAGUGGAAUUCCACGUGUAGCGGUGAAAUGCGUAGAGAUGUGGAGGAACACCAGUGGCGAAGGCGACUCUCUGGUCUGUAACUGACGCUGAGGAGCGAAAGCGUGGGGAGCGAACAGGAUUAGAUACCCUGGUAGUCCACGCCGUAAACGAUGAGUGCUAAGUGUUAGGGGGUUUCCGCCCCUUAGUGCUGCAGCUAACGCAUUAAGCACUC
rnacentral:rRNA from 1 species